CGCAAUUAUGAUUUUAUUGUACGGAAUCUUUCGAAUAUUUUUACUUUUGAUUGUCUUUUACGUUAAAGAUUAAUAUCUUAAUUUAUUUUUAUUUUUUUGAUUAUAUCUUAUAUGUCAUAUAAUAUCUUGAUAUCUUGAUAUUAGUUAAGAAUUGCCUGGUAUUAAAAAAUUUAUUUGAAAAUAAGAAAGCCGGUAAGAAAGUAAGAAAUUUAUUUGAAAGUAAAUUGUUUAUCUCGAUUUUCUUUUAAAUUUAGCUUAUGUUAAGCUAUAUUCAAGAAUAUAUAUUAAAGAACAAUUAAAAAUUUAACACUAAAUAUUAAUAAUCAAUUUGUUAGGAUUAAUUUUAUAUUAUUUACACAUAUUAUAAUUUGAAUAAUAUUUUUCAUAUUUACAUACAUUUGAUAAUUUUAAUAUGUUAUAUAUAUAUAUAUAUAUAAAAUAUUAUAUAUAAAAUAUUAUAACUAAAUUAUUUCAUUAUUUAUAUAUAUAUUUUUUUAUUUUCAUCAUCAGUAGGUAAUGAGGUUAUCUGUAUUUUUUAUCUAAUCGAUGAAAUAUUUAUUCAGCGUAUGUGCAAAAUGCAUAUAUAUUAUAUGAAGAAAGAGGUAUGGAACACGUGUAUGUCAAGAAUGAUAACUGGACUACGUAGAUGCUGAAUUACAUAUUUAUAUGCUGAAUUCAAUACAGAACAGAAGAAAAGUAUAUUUUUACGUCGAUUAUAUUGAGAGAUGACUGAAAAUAUACGCUGAAUUGAACACAUUAAAUACUAGGAUGCUAGUGUGAACAUUACGCGAUCCCAUCAAUUCAUUUGACCUGUGAACUUCAGAUGAUGGUGCGUUAGGGCCAACGACACGCGUUCCAAGUAUACGCACCAGAGAAGAUGCAAUCUUCGUGGUUGGUAGUUCUCGUUUCAUUGUCAUCUCGUUUAAACAAUUAUUCUCUAUAUUGACAGUUAUCCUAGGCAGUUAGCUUGUUUGCAAAGUGCACGUAGUGUUCUACUUGCUUUCAAGCUAGUGUCGAUCAAUGAAAAGGCGACACUGAAUAGUUUAUAGUCGAAAAGCAUUUAAAAGCUUUGCGACUUUUAAGCCUUUAAGUUUGUAUAUAAAGAAUAGACACGCAAAGUGUGUUUGAAUGAAUAUAUUGUUGGCCUAGAUACAGUUUUCCCGCCUUUUUGUAGCUAUUAUACAUAAUUAAUUCUCACCACUCUUUUUUAAGUAUAAAAUAUGUUUCCUUGAUAUUAUUUUUUAUUUUUUAGAUGCAGUGUGAUAGUAAAAGAAUAGAAACAUCGAUUGACAUAUCUUCAUAGUUAGUGAAGAAAAUAAUCAUGAGAUUGCGACUUCUUACAACUGUUUUCAAGUUCUAUUAUGAAAUUACAAACAUUAAUCGUAACUACUAUGUUAAGUAAGGAUAUUUAUAGACCAGUUUUCUGUCUUGCGCAAAGAAUUAAGAGUUCCUCGACCGCCAGAAUGUUUACGACAAAAUUAAGAGGCGACAUCGAGUGGUUUUGAGCAUCUUGUUCAAAGGCUUUUUCGAUGCUUAACGAUCUAGCUAAAAAGAGAAAGAAUAAGGGACAAAGUAAGGCGAACGUUCAAAGAAGAAAAAAGGGAGAGAAUCAGGUUCAAGAUCGUUAAUUCCGACAUUGCCGAGGCAGUUGGUGCAUUCAAGAAUGAUGCGUAAGAGCUCCCGCUCGACGUAGAAUCAUGACUCGAUCUCGAUACGUAUAAUUCUCCAAGAGAUUCGAGCUUGAAUAUAAAGAUACCUGUACGGAGAGCAUUUCUCUUGCAAGUAGUAGUUGACUCGCGAAAAAUGCUACGUCCUUGAGGUAACUGAUACUCGAGAUCGUGCUGUGACAGCGAUAUUGCAAACCUAGUGCACUAUCGAUGGCGUAAUGGUUAUAUAUACUGAUAUAAUCAAAAGAUUGCUAUGAUUGUAAAUGUAGAUAUUUCUUUAUCUAAAGACUUAUUUACAUCUUAUUUUUUCUUUUUCUUUUUCUUUUAAUUACUAUAUAAUAUAAUUAAAAAUCAAGCUUUGAAAUAUAUCAUUUUUAUAGAUUAUAGAGUCAAUACAAAGAAAUAAUAUAUAAUCAUUCUUAUUUGAUUCACGAAAAAAAUGACUCAUAAGCGCUUUUGUAAACGAUAAAACGCAAACGAUAAAAAAUCCAAGGUUUCUUUUUAGAAAGUUGGAUAGGUGUCAGUACAACGACAUUACUCGUGAAAUAUUUGUUUCGUUGAUUUACUCUAAUGAAUGUGCUUAUAGUGGAGAAGAGAGCGCGUUAGCGCGCAUUUAGCUAAGUUUAGCGGUGGUUUCAGAUGGCUGGCACUGUUUUCUCGGCGAUGUAUUAUCGAGGCGUUAACAGCAUUACGCGCUUCGAACUUGCGGUUCGUUCAACCCUUGUAAUCGCGAAAGGGUAGAUCGUAGCAAUUGUUGCAGGUUUAAAAAUCAUUCGAGCAAGAAUAUCGAAAUUUGUAUUUAAAUCAAAUCAAAUAUUCGUUUAUAUAGACACAAAUCCACUUAAAAAUUAAACGAUAUAUUUAUAUGUUCUAUAAUUUUAUUCCAUUUUUCCAUAAUGAAGUUUCAGCAUUUAUCAAAAGCUAUGAUUAAUUUUAUGUGAUGUGUAUAUUUCAUUUAAUAACGGCGUAUGCAAUAUUUUCUCGCAUACUUCAUACUUGACCAUCACUGUUUACAUUAGUUGCUUUGAAAGUGAACCAGCAGAUGUGCAUGUGCGUAUAAACACUUGAAUCCAGCUUUGGGUUCCAGAAGACGUUAAGGGAAUUUCGUUACAGAUAGUUUGUACGACAUGUGAAUACAACUGUUUCGUUUCUUGUAACUUCGAUACAUUCGAUCCGAUAUAGAUUGAUAAUAUAUAGAUUGCGAUAGUUCAAAAAUCAAUAGAUUUGAGAAUGAUUUGACAUAAUAAUGUAAUAGUUCCAUGGAUCAGAUGUAUACUACUAAUUGAUUUCCUGUAUUUUAGUGUUACAGUGAUAUAUAGAACUAUAUUGUGCGAAAUGUCGAAUCAUAAAUAUAUAGUUUAUAUAGUUUCUAUCUGAUAUGAAUUAAAACGAUUUCAUUGCCUUCUUCAAACAACAUUCUACGAAAAUUUGAUUUAUAUUUAUCAAUGUUACAUAUCAAUCUUGCGAUUUGAAUAAAUUAUCUCAUUAUUAGUGUAAAUUUAGAUACAGUGUUUAAGUAGAUGAAUUGCAUUUUGAUGAAUUGCAACUAUGUUUCUAAUAUCAAUUUAAUUCUAAUAUUAAUCUGACAAGGAAAUAUUUGAUAUCGAUUAAGAUUAAAACGACAAUAAGUAUUCGCGAAUGUUAAGAUUCACAUUUUCCGUUUGAUACUACGAAAGCUGAAUGACCUCGGCUUUGAAAUUCCGUUAUAUUCAUCAUGUGCAAUCAUCUCUAAACUUGUCGUCUAUCAUAUAUCUUCUUGUAAAUAAUGAUUAAAAAUACAAUUCAUUCGAAUUAUAUAUAAGAAAUAUCUUUUUAAAAUUCAUAAGAAACUUAUAAUUAUAUAUAAAUAGAAUGAAUUUCAAAUCCUGUGUUAAAAUAUUGGAAUAGAAAAAUAUAUAGAUAUAUAUAUUCUAAA